rnacentral:rRNA from 1 species
GUGAGGAAUAUUGGUCAAUGGACGAGAGCCUGAACCAGCCAAGUCGCGUGAAGGAAGAAGGCUCUAUGGUUCGUAAACUUCUUUUGCAGGGGAAUAAAGUGCGGGACGUGUCCUGUUUUGUAUGUACCCUGAGAAUAAGGAUCGGCUAACUCCGUGCCAGCAGCCGCGGUAAUACGGAGGAUCCGAGCGUUAUCCGGAUUUAUUGGGUUUAAAGGGUGCGUAGGUGGUUUGAUAAGUCAGCGGUGAAAGUUUGCAGCUUAACUGUAAAGAUGCCGUUGAAACUGUCGGACUUGAGUGUAAAUGAGGUAGGCGGAAUGCGUGGUGUAGCGGUGAAAUGCAUAGAUAUCACGCAGAACUCCGAUUGCGAAGGCAGCUUACUAAGCUACAACUGACACUGAAGCACGAAAGCGUGGGGAUCAAACAGGAUUAGAUACCCGAGUAGUCC